GUCCUCUAGUCUGACUGUGAAAAUACUUAAGCUUUGAAAGAAUGCUUUAGAGAGCUUCAGGACCUGCUCCUCAGCUCAACACUACUGCAGAAGCAGCCUUGUAGCAGACAGACAGUUCAUUUGACCCGGUAAAACCAGAGCCAGAGAUGACAAGCAGCAGAGACCUCGUCAGUCCAGCAGUGAAACUGCAGAUGACAGCUCCCAGCAGUGGACUCAGUCAGGCUGGCAAUGACUGACACCAGAUCUGCACCAGCCACAGUGUGUACAGUAAGCAGUGGGAGUUCAACCAAGAGGAGAAUCAGGAGGUGUGGAAGUCACAGACCAGGUGUUGCUGUUGAGAUAAUGGAGAUCACAGCUGGAGAUCCAGCAGUCUGCACAAGCGGUAAGAGAGAACAACUUCAAGACUCUACAGAGCGGUUGGCACUUUAACAACAAUAUCUGUACAUUAUAAACAUAUCCAGAAACACUCCCAUAGAAGCUUUUUAUCUUCUCAUCUAUUCAGGUCACAGUCAGGAAGCCAUAUCCACCACGGCCUCUGCUCAGGGUUUGAGUUCAGAGCUUUAGCUGUAAUAUUACAGUAACUCUGGGCGAUAUUGUCCCACAUUAACAACAGAAAAAUACAGGAGCUGUACCAACAUCAGAUGUGUUAGGAAGGUGUUGUUCCACCACCAGCUUGCAGAACAGCUCCAGUGCUCGUGACUUGCCGAGUCUCUGGAGGUGUUUGGAUGGUGGUGGAGAGCGCUGUUUAACAUAUUACUUCCAUACUUAUCAAACCAUUCAGUGAGCUCUUGUGAAACUGCACAGAAGCGCCAGAUUCUGAUCUGCAUGAUACAAAUCCAUCUGUAGUUGAGAUUUGAGUUUGCAUGAAGGCCCUGGUAAGUCAGGCUCAACUCACAUUCUCAAGUCUUCAGAUUGUGACACGAAGGUGUUCACAGCUCUGUCCCUGUGCGUUCUCUCAUCUGAAUCUUCAGAUGGAUUAGAACCUGAAUUUGUUCUGUGCUCAGUCAGUGUCUGAGUUGUAGUUUGUUGUCUUCUUUUUGAAAUUCUGUCAUGAAGCUGGAACUUUGACAUUCUGGAGAUCUAUGCUUUAUACCAAACAUCUGCCACUAACAUUUCUGCCUCCAUUACAUAACAUUAUAAUAACAUUUUUACAGAUGAUGUAAUACCAUUCAGGUGGGUCAUUUCAUUUGAAAGUAGAAACUUUUUUGCUUUUCACAAUUGCGCCCCCACAGAUUAUGAUGGGGGGAUUUUCUUAUUAUUACAAUAUAGGACAUUUUAUUACAUUAUUGGGUGCUACAUCUGCAUCUCCUAACAUAAAAACAGCCAGGUAAAGCAGCAGAGACUGUACUUAGUAUUUGAGUAAAUGCUCCUGGGUGAAAGGAAGCAGUAGAGAGCCAGUGGUUAUGAAGGGCAUGCGUGAUCUGUUCCUCAGCAUGUGUGUGUCUGCAGUGUCUCUUAAAGUAUGUGUGUUGUGUUUCAGAUGUCAGAGAGCAGCAUGUAGUAGAGGGGUGAGUAUCACGCACGCAUGCAGAGUCAUUUAAUUUGUGAGUGCGUGUGGAAAGGCAGAGGGAGCAGCAGCAGGACAGGAAGUUGGCAUUAUGUAGGUCUACUGGGCUUUAAAGUCAUUUCCUGUUUACCCCUCCCCAACAAGAAUGCUUGUGCUGUACCCUCUAUCUCUCUGUCUCACACACAACACACACACCUUUUCAUGUCCUUGUUCAUCUCCCGCUUUGACUGAUAUUUCCAAUGUGUUAGAAAGACUGUAGAGGCAGAGUCUGUAUUUCCAGCACAACGUCCCGUCCCUGCAAGGUGCAUGGAGAAGGGAAAAGUCUGAAGAGGCCUAAGCUUGUAGUAUUCAGAACAGCUUGAUUGUGAGAUUAACACGUCUCAGCUGGUGGCCAUGGGUGACCCUGAUGAACACAUUGGUCUGACAGUAAAGCUGUUCUGAAUGCUACAAGUGUUUCUGGAGUGUUAGAAAGAUCCAGAAAUGUAGCUCAACUGUGUCUUAGGUGUAAAUGAAGACGUUCCCAUCAUGUGAGGCUGAUCUGAUUGGUCAGAUUAGUCUGAUGUUUCCUCUGUCUUUAGAAUAACCUGUCCUUCAUGAUGCUUAGAGAGAUGUGUUUAUUCUGUGUUCACAUCAUGUCACUUGUAUCGCUCUGACGUUAGCUUUAGCUUCACCUGUGAGUUCACUUCGUUAUGAGUCACGUCAGCUGAUUGACUCACCUGAGUUCACGAGCUAAAAUCAAUAACUUUGGUGUGAUGGUUUUUUGUCAACUGCAAAGACGUUUGUGUGCACCUUGCAGUUUGUGUGGUGCUCAUGUUGUUGAGUCAGAAAGAAAAUGUGUGCAGCCGAUGUAACGAACAUAGUUUCUAAACUGUCCCUGUGUUUUUCUCCAGUUGACUUCCUGGACCAUCCCUGCGGCCCACGGUGCAGUGCUGCAUCUCUGGUCAUUUGGUAGUCUGAGAUGAAGCACUGUAGCUCGGGACGGAGGACAGAAAUUCGAGUCUGAGCAUAUCCAGAGCCAGGUAACAGCAUCCCCAAUCUGCAGCAGGUCUCCAAGGCUCAGGUUAGGGCCACAGGACACCUUGUGGAUCACAAUCAGUUUAUCCAUUCAUAGGAAAGCUGUUUCUGUUACCUUUAUGUAUUUAGAAGACACAAAAAUUGAAGUUGUAGAAUUUAUCACAAAAUGUGGAUUAGGGCACAUUUAAAAUUAUUCCUAUGAUGUUCAACAUUACAAAUUUCAGAUAAAUGAAAUCAGUAAUAUGACCCCCGUCUGCCAAAGUCUGUGACAGGGUUUUAGACAUGGCACCAUCAGAAGGAAAGCAAAAUAAAGAUGUGACCGUUUCAAAGCUUCUAAUGUGCAAUCUGUAAAUGGGAAGUGUGCAAACCACAGCUGGUUGUGUGAGGAGUGGGACCCAGCGGUGUUGAUGUGAUGACGGUUGAUGAUGAUGAUGGUGGUGGGUGGAUCCCAUCAGAAGAGGAAGUGCUCAAUGACCUCUUGGUUUUCUUCUCCUCUCUCCUGGGGUCCAGUUUUCCCAGGAAUCCCUUGACCUAUCAGAAAGGGGGAUUCCUGGAAAUACUGUUCUUGGGGGCGGGGCUUAUCAACAAUUCCAUGUAAAGUCUUGAGGAUUAUGUGUGAUGUGUGUGAAAACAUGUAUUGUGUAGGAACACGAGAAAAACGAGGCCUUAUUGUUUCUGUCAUGCCCCCCCCUCCCCCCCCAUCCUCAGCGCUGAGGGGUUCCAAUGUGAAACGUCUGUGUUAUUGCUCAUUGUUGAAUAAACAUUCAAAACAAAGAAA